rnacentral:rRNA from 1 species
GGCUUGGAAGCAGCCAUUCAUUUAAAGAGUGCGUAACAGCUCACUAGUCGAGGAAUUCUGCGUGGAUAAUAAUCGGGCAUAAGCUAUUUACCGAAGCUAUGGAAUAAUUGAAUAUUGGUAGGGGAGCAUUCCACAAGUCGCAGAAGGCCUGUUUUGAGACAGACUGGAGACAGUGGAAAAGCAAAUGUAGGUAUAAGUAACGAUAAAGGAGGCGAGAAACCUCCUCGCCGCAAGACCAAGGGUUCCUGAUCAACGCUAAUCGGAUCAGGGUAAGUCGGGCCCUAAGGCCAAGCCGAACGGUGCCGCCGAUGGCAGAAACGGUUAAUAUUCCGUUACUGAAUGUAAGAGUGAUGCGGAGACGGAGCAGUGACACAUCCGCCUGCAGACGGAAUAGCAGGUUAAAGAGUGUAGAUAAUAACCCGGUAGGCAAAUCCGCCGGGAUAGUCGAACUUGAAAGUACCGGGCGUCCUCGGACAACCGGAUAGCGAUGGUAAGCAGACUCCCAAGAAAAUCCGCUAAACAUAUGUUGCAUUCACCCGUACCCCAAACGGACACACGUGGUUGGGUAGAAUAUACCAAGGCGCUCGAGAGAUUCACGGUUAAGGAACUAGGCAAAUUGACCCUGUAACUUCGGGAUAAAGGGUCCCAACGAGAGUUGGGCGCAGAGAAUAGGUCCAGGCAACUGUUUAACAAAAACACAGGGCUGUGCAAAAUUGAAAGAUGAAGUAUACAGCCUGACACCUGCCCGGUGCUGGAAGGUUAAGAGGAGAUGUCAUCGCAAGAGAAGCGUUGAAUUGAAGCCCCAGUAAACGGCGGCCGUAACUAUAACGGUCCUAAGGUAGCGAAAUUCCUUGUCGGGUAAGUUCCGACCUGCACGAAUGGUGUAAUGAUCUGGACACUGUCUCAACCGUGAGCUCGGUGAAAUUGUAGUAUCGGUGAAGAUGCCGAUUACCCGCAACGGGACGAAAAGACCCCGUGAACCUUUACUGCAACUUAACAUUGUAAUUGGGUAUCCGAUGUGUAGGAUAGUCCGGAGGCAGAGAAGCAGGUACGCCAGUAUUUGUGGAGCCGACCUUGAAAUACGGACCUUUGGCUAUUUGAUUACUAACCCGCAGAAGUGGGGACACUGUUUGGUGGGUAGUUUGACUGGGGUGGUCGCCUCCAAAAGAGUAACGGAGGCUUCUAAAGGUGCCCUCAGACCGAUUGGUAACCGGUCGCAGAGUGUAAUGGCAUAAGGGCGCUUGACUGGGAGAGAUACAACUCGAUCAGGUAGGAAACUAGAGCAUAGUGAUCCGGUGGUUCCGCAUGGAAGGGCCAUCGCUCAAAGGAUAAAAGGUACUCCGGGGAUAACAGGCUGAUCGCUCCCAAGAGCUCAUAUCGACGGAGCGGUUUGGCACCUCGAUGUCGGCUCGUCACAUCCUGGGGCUGGAGAAGGUCCCAAGGGUUCGGCUGUUCGCCGAUUAAAGUGGCACGCGAGCUGGGUUCAGAACGUCGUGAGACAGUUCGGUCUCUAUCUGUUGUGGGCGCAGGAAAUUUGAGAGGAUCUGACACUAGUACGAGAGGACCGUGUUGGACCGACCGCUGGUCAAUCUGUUGUUUCGCCAGGAGCAUGGCAGAGUAGCUAAGUCGGGAGAGGAUAAGCGCUGAAAGCAUCUAAGCGCGAAGCCAACCUCGAGAUAAGAUUUCCAUAGAGGGACGUCGAAGACGACGACGUAGAUAGGUUGCAGAUGUAAAGCCAGCAAUGACAAAGUCGAGCAAUACUAAUUACCCGAUAACUUCCGAGA